GGCAGCGACAGCGCCUCCGGCACGGGCCCAGCCCCCGCGGGCAGCGGCCACGGCCGUGCCGGAGCAGCGGCAGCAGCCGCGCCGGGGAGGAGGAGUGCCGGCGGCUUGGCCAGAGCGGCGGCAGCCGGGGCCGGGGCAGGGUCUCCCCGCUCCGCCCGCCGCCGGUGCCCGCAGCCGCCGUGCCCAGCAGUGUCCGGCGGCAGGCGGAGGUGCUCCCCGGCCGGCGAGGCGGGGGUGGUGCCGCGUUGCCGCCGCCGCGGAGCGGAGCGGAGCGGCCGCAUCUUCAUCUUCAUCCUCCUCCUCCCCCUCCCCGCGGCGCGACCCCGCCGGCUGCCCCCGCCCAGAGGGGCGGGAAGGCAGCGGGCGCUGCCCGCGGUCGAGGCGCGGCCCGAAGGGGCUCCGCAUGGCGUUCCCUCACCCGCCCGCUGCCGCCGAUAAAUCCCAGUGCCGAGGGCAGCGCGGCACUUGGCGGCUGCUGCGCUGCGGGGAGGCGGCGGAGCUCGGGCCCCUCCCCGCGGCGGCGACCCCCAACAGGAGCCGGAGCUCAGGCACUGUGAUGCCCACUGGAGCCAGUAGAGGUCUGGGAACUGCUGAGAAUGUAAGUGAAUUUUUAAUAUAUAAUCAGAUAGGGAAGAAAACAUUACUUAAAUGUCUUCCACUCUGUAUUAAAACAUUUAACUUUUCUUAAGCCCGUUUUCUUUACUCUUUGGCUGCUGAGGAAGUUUUCUAAGGUUAAAUCCUAUUAUCCUGGCUCCUUUAUAAUUUGGGGAAUUCAGAAGGUGUGUCUAGAUCCAAGUGCAGGCUCUUCCCCAAGCUAUUCAUGUGCAAAAGAGCUUUUGCAUUUGUAUAUGAGAUCCAGGCUGUCACACUUUAAAUGAUCCUGCAGCUUUUCCUCAUGGACAGAGUGAGCUGGCAGUCAUCACCAUCUGCUGGCCACACUCAACACCAUUCAGUAAGGCUUGUGACCAGGGGACAAGUAUCUCACUGCUCCUUUCUGUAUUCACUCUGGCUGUCCCUUGCCAGCGAUUCUGCCUGGGCAUCUGAGGAGGACUGGAAAAAAAAGGGAUUGAAAGGGUGGUUCCAGAGCAGCCAGAUUCAAAUGAUGGGGAGAACCCAGAGAGUCUGCAGCCUUAACUAAAGCAGUUUCCCACAAGUGAAUGUCAUUGAGUUACAUCCAUCUCCCAUGCUUCACCAGUGCUCCAGGUGUGACCAGCUCCUGUGUCACUGAUCAGCCCGAUACAGGAACAUUCCCUAAUACAUAACAGGCAUGUUCCUUAAAAUGCUCAUGGCUCUCCCUGCUGUGCAGCUGUGCCCUGGGACCUCCAGAUGCACCACUGCCAGAAGCAAGCAGUAAAGCUGUUACCACACAGGCUUUGGAGCUUGAACUUAGAAUGGAAAAUUUAAAAUGCAGAGGCCAGCAUUUAUCUCCUCUGGUGGUUUAACUUUUACAGCACAGCUUAAUUUGAUCUUCUCUUUUUCACAUAUAGCACAUUCUAGUCAGCCAUUUAAUAAGAAAUUCACCUAAUGUUAAGAGCCACAGUAAAAUAGUCCUUAUUUACUGAUAGAUUUAUAGCCCAGGAGCUUGCAGACAGCACUGUGUGAGCUGUGUGAUGAUUUUAAUGGGUGAGCGGCAUUUUCAUGGAUAAAGUUUCCAUUAUUUCAUAACCAAGCUAUUGCUUUCUAACCGGGCACGCAAUGGGCAUUAUUCAAGAGGUGGAGGGGAAAAGAUAUCUUUCUUUCAGAAAUUAUAUUUUGGAUGCAUGUAAUAGCUCUCUUCUCUA
ensembl:lncRNA